rnacentral:misc_RNA from 1 species
AAAAAGGAGAAUCAAACAAAAGCGAAAGUUUCCCUUCAUCAAGCACGUUAUCUUUUGGGCUAGUGUUUAGACACCUCAAUUACUUAAGAAAUCGACAAACCUCGGGUAAACAGCGUGAUGCCGAAAUUACAAAUGUAAACAACUGAACAAUACUCGUGUUACUGGCACCAUGGACGGAGGGACUGGAUUACGCUCUAGCAGUAACAGUGCUGUCUUUGAUGGGGAUAUUCCAACCCAAACUAGCAACUGGAAUUGUACAGUGUUUCCAAAAUUGCACAUUGAGUCGAUAGCAGAUGUAUUCUCACCUUAUGUCGUUUUUUCGUCUUACGCAGACUUUUUAGAAAAUCAGAAAAUCAAAAGAAGUAAGAUUAUUGCAACAAUGAAUGAACACGUAUUAGAGAAAUGGGAACUUCAAGACUGCUAUAUGUAUGCAAUUGAACACAUUCUUGACCUUGAUUAUGAACAUAUUGACCAUGUUCCUGUUCAUCGAGUGAAGGAGUUGUAUAAAUACACACAGUCUCAAGCAUUGGAUGAGCCAUCAUUAGAAGAAUGGCAAAAGUAUUUUGCAGAAAGAAAUCUAGAAGAUGGUGGUAGUACAUCUAAACAAAAAUGGCAAUGGAUGCAUGAAAAAAUCAGUGAUUUUCUGUGGCAGCUGCUGUAUUUGGUGAACAAGAGACAGAUUCCAGAACCUGAAGAACUAACAGAAGGAAUGUUCCAAGAUCUGUUCAUCAGAUUUGCUAGAAUAUUUGGUUUGAAUUUAAUAGGUGUUCCCAGCGUUGGACAAUACAGUUUUGAUUUAUACAAUAAAGAAAUUUCCUCAGUCCCUGAUGCUCUGUUGAUGGAUCCUUUAAAGGGAAAUUCCAUAUUUGGCAUUGUUAAGUAUUGGUCUGGUCAGAACUUGACAUAUUUGGGUUAAAAAUUAUUAUAGCAAAGAAAGUGAUUCACAGACACAAAGAAACCUAGAAAGGGGGACAACUGUGCACAACCAAGACCAGCGUGUGGACAGUCGGUUGAAGGGUCAGCUGGUCGGGGAUAUCCUGGCAGUGCUAAAGAACUCUAUGUUUGGUCCUACUGGAAUCUUUGGUCUGAUAGUUCAAGCUACAGAGGUAACAAUUGUUGCAUUUGCAACAGAGGACAAUUAUUUGGAGUGCAUAAAGAACGGCAAAUUUCCUAAUCGUGACUGUGCUACAGUGAAGUACAGUGAAAAGUGCAAUGUUCUGACAAAGAGAGGGAGGCUUGAACUUGUUAAAGCUUUUCUUGGCAUGGCGGAUUUAAUGGAAUGCUUGUAAUUGUGAAAAUGAUGAAUCGUUUCAGUAUUUUCUUAUGUCAAAUUAAAGUAUUUGUUUGAGAUGUUGUCUGAAAUGCAACAUUUAGGCAUUAUUUUGUAUUGCCUUUGUAUAUUGUUAAUAUGUUUCAUUUUCAUUUGAAUGUUGAUUUAUUAUUAAUAAUUAAAACAAUAAAAUUUG